GCCAAUUGAUUUCUCAUAUAACAUGAUUUGCUGACUUAUUAUCUAGGAACAUGCUUACUCUCUGCCUAAUCUUGUUUAUGAUAAAAAUCAGAAGAUUGUUGAACCUCCCCGCUCCCUCCCUCUCUUUUAGGACUUAGAACUAAUGUAGGUUUAUUUCAUGGGAAUAAGAAACUAGUUUGUUAUGAUUUUCCCCUCUUUUGGCACAAGGGUAUAGUGAU
rnacentral:misc_RNA from 1 species